CCACAGGACAGGGGACACAAGGGUCAGGCCAGCCUUUAGGCGGGAAACUGGGCAGGUGACCACACCUCCACCUUGCAAGGUGACAGCAGUCAUGUUUUGCGUUUCUAGACAGAUUGACAGAAAGAAACAUUGAAAUGGGACUGGCAGUCAAGACAGUAACAGUGUGGCGAUGUUCUGGAUGAACAUCAUGAUGUUUUGUGGAAGGAAAAACGGUAAAGUAUUCAGUAGAUAAUAAUUGAAAGCAAGGUUCUACAAAAUGUAUGUAUGCAAACUCUGUAUGAUCAGGAUAACCAUGAUACACAAUGAUACAUCCUUCUCAUGUAACAUGACUGUAGACAAACAUUUUCCUCACUAGGAUGUAGACGCUUAUUUAGAUUGUGUAUUUAAUACUUUACUGUACGCUGCUACUGCAAAGUAAAAUAGCAAAAUCCUUUGUAUGAGAUAUGUACUACAGACAUCUAAAGCAUAUACAUACUGGACGAAGUCCCUUGUAAGACACAUAUUAUGUAUACAACCAUGCUUAAGACAUAAAAGUAUAACACAAAAAUCGGGGUAAGAUUGCCGAGGAUUACAGCAACAACAGUCCGUUAAAAUCAGUACAGUUAACCACUUAACCUCAGGUUAAAAUUACCACAGUUCAGUACAGCUAGCCAAGUGACCUCUGAUUAAGAUUACUUCGAACAAAUAAAUUUAUAUGUAGUAAAUUGCUUGUUAUCAACAACAAUUUUAUACGAUUUUUGAUUAGAAUCAUCGUAAAAUAAUAUACACAUAAGACGAGUUAUCGGCAGUCUAUGCAGGCAACUUUCACGAUACAAACAGUUUUGUUUUAAAUUACUCUGAUUGAGAUAUGUGUGUGCGUGUUUCAUCGAAAUAAUAGAUGGGAAAAAGAUAAAGACAUUAGGCCUUGUGUAAGCGACUGCGCUAACCCGCGCUGCCCUGGUAUACGCAGCGGCAAGUGCCCGCCAAAUGAAAUUUCCACCAGUAUUUUUAAAAAUUUAUAUUUCUUAACUUACAACAAAAACAGCUAUCUGUGAUGCCAAGUUUCAAAGAACAUUUUAAAUACAUUUACGUGGUGUAAAUUUUCACAAAUAUACGUUUUGUUUUUUUGUAGUAAAAUCAACUGAAAGACUGUAACUAUAAUUAUAGGACAGAGAAUUCACAAAUCGGAAAGUAGGUUAAAAGUGCGACAUUAAGAAAAAAAUAUUUAUAAAAUAUAU